AUACGGAGGGUGCAAGCGUUAUCCGGAAUCAUUGGGUUUAAAGGGUCCGUAGGCGGACUAUUAAGUCAGAGGUGAAAUCCCACAGCUCAACUGUGGAACUGCCUUUGAUACUGGUAGUCUUGAGUUAUAUGGAAGUAGAUAGAAUGUGUAGUGUAGCGGUGAAAUGCAUAGAUAUUACACAGAAUACCGAUUGCGAAGGCAGUCUACUACGUAUAUACUGACGCUAAGGGACGAAAGCGUGGGGGGCGAACAGGAUUAGAAACCCCAGUAGUCC
rnacentral:rRNA from 1 species